GAUGAACGCUGGCGGUAUGCCUAACACAUGCAAGUCGUACGAGAGUUUUUAACUCUAGUGGCGGACGGGUGAGUAACACGUGAGAAUUUGCCUUUAGGAGGGGGAUAACAAUUGGAAACGAAUGCUAAUACCCCAUAUGCUUUUGAGUGAAAUGGAUUUUAUCCGCCUAGAGAGAAGCUCGCGGCUGAUUAGCUUGUUGGUAAGGUAAGAGCUUACCAAGGCGACGACCAGUAUCUGGUUUGAGAGGACGAUCAGACACACUGGAACUGAGACACGGUCCAGACUCCUACGGGAGGCAGCAGUGGGGAAUUUUCCGCAAUGGGCGAAAGCCUGACGGAGCAAUACCGCGUGAGGGAAGAAUGCCUAUGGGUUGUAAACCUCUUUUUUCAGGGAGGAAUAAAAUGACGUGUACCUGAAGAAUAAGCAUCGGCUAACUCCGUG
rnacentral:rRNA from 1 species